rnacentral:rRNA from 1 species
UACAGAGGGGGCAAGCGUUGUUCGGAAUUACUGGGCGUAAAGGGCGCGUAGGCGGCCAUCUAAGUCGAACGUGAAAUCCCCGGGCUCAACCCGGGAACUGCGUCCGAUACUGGUUGGCUUGAAUCCGGGAGAGGGAUGCGGAAUUCCAGGUGUAGCGGUGAAAUGCGUAGAUAUCUGGAGGAACACCGGUGGCGAAAGCGGCUUCCUGGUCCAGCACCGACGUUCAGGCACGAAAGCGUGGGGAGCAAACAGG